AAUAUGCUAAAAUUUGCUUUAAUUUUUGGAAAAGGAAAAUCAACACAUACCUUUGAAAAGGAAACCAAGUGUUCCAUAACUGAAUUUAACUUAUAUUUUUAAGUUAUAUUUAACUUGAUAUGUCAACCAACGAUAAUUUGUAUUACCUAGGGCUCAUAACGGAGCCCUGGUACAGCAGUGGUUAUGUGCUCAGCUGCUACCAAAAGGUUGGCAGUUCAAAUCCAUCAGCCCCUUCUUGGAACCCUAUGGGGCAGUUCUGCUCUGUUCUAUGGAGUCGCCAUGAGUCGGAAUCAACACAAACAGCAAUGGGUUCGGUUUGGGUUAGGGCUCAUAACAGUGAUUGAAUCUUUAGUACAGAUGAUCACUUCACUAUGGUAAAAUAAUCUAUGAUGGAAGAACUUCAAAAAUAUCUUUGUAAGGUGGAAACAACUGAAACAUCUAUCAACAGAUGAAUGGAUGAAUAAAAUGCGGUAACCUACAUACAAAUGGAAUAUUAUUCUACCAUAAAGAGAAACGAAGUCAUGAUCCAUGCAGCAACGUGGAAGAACCUUGAAAACAUUACGCUGAAUGAAAUUAGUCAAUCACAAAAGGACAGAUAUUGUAUGAUUUCAUUAAUAUGAAGUAUCUAGAAUAGGCAAAAAUACAGAGAUUAGAGUUUAAUAGUAACUACUAUUUUUGCCUAUCCUAGAUAUUCCAUAGUAAUGAAGGGUGGAGAGAAGGGAAUGAAUCACUGUUUAGGUAACAUAGAGAUUUUGUUUACCGGGAUGGUUAAUUUGGCGAUGGAUAUUGGUGCUGGUUGCACAUGAUUGAUGUAAUUGGUUUUAUUGAAUUAUGCCCAUGAAAGUUAAAUUGUUACCUAUAUUUUUAUGACAACAAAAAUUUUAAAAAAGAAAAAAAAAUAGCUUUGUAAAAUAGUAAGUACCUGGGAAAAUGAGUAGAACUGCCCCAUAGGGCUUCCAAAGAGCAGCUGGUAGAUUUGAACUGCUGACCUUUUGGUUAGCAGCCAAGCUCUUAACCACUGCACCACCAGGGCUCCAUAAUUUAGUGCCAGAAAAAAAGACCAAUAUUAUUUGCACGAGAAUGUUCUGUUAUAAAAUAAGCAACUAUACUAAACCUAAGGAACCCUGAUGACAGCGUGGUUAAAGCGCUUGGCUGCUAACUGAAAAGUCGGUGGUUUGAAUUCACUAGCUAUUCUUCAGGAGAAGGAUGUGGCAGUCUGCUUCCAUAAGGAUUACAGCCUUGGAAAUCCUAUGGGGUAGUUCUACUUGUUCCCUUAGGGUCAUUAUCGGUUGAAAUCGACUUGAUGGCAACAGAUUUGGUUUAGUUUUUUAUACUAAACCUUAGAAGAGGGUAUUAAGAAAUGCUUAUUCACCUUUCACUAGUGUCCCCCGCCCCAGAACAAACAAACAAACAAAAAAACCAGCUGCUGUCAAGUCAAUGCCAACUCAUAGUGACCCUAUAGGAUAGAGUAGAACUGCCACCAUAAUUUCCAAGGAGCAGCCGGUGGAUUUGAACUGCCGACCUUUGGGUUAGUAGCCAUAGCUCUUAACCACUGUGCCACCAGGGCUCACUAGUGACUUAUUUCUGUGUUCUUCAUAACUAAGGAGCAACCCUUGUGCAUUUAGAAGGUGACUGACAAAAAUACGACUUUCUUUUCAGGAACUUACUUUCUGUUAAGUGAAAUUCACCAAAAUGUGCAUAAACAAAUUUGUUCCAUGAAAGUCAGCUGAGGAGUGUUUUGAAUUGUGGUUUUACUGCUAAACAAAACAUUGUUCGUAAUCUUGCUGAUAUAACAUAAAACCCUGAGGGGGAAAUGUGUUCUGAAAUACAGACAUCACAAGGAUUGUAGGGUAGGCUGGAUUGUCACGUGGCUGAGGUUACAAAAGAAAGAAAAAGUUACAAAAUUCAAUACAGCAAAUGAUUUGCAAAUAACCAACUCCUCUUGGUGCGUUAUGAUGAAAUAAAGUCUUUAGAAACAACAAUGCUGACUGUGAUAGUAUUAUAAUGUUAAUAUUUUGGGUACCUUAAAAAGAUGACAUUCUCAACUCUGAAAAUUGAAUAAAAAUUUACAGUAAUUACUCUCAUCUUUACUCGUACCCAUAAGUCAUAUUUUAAACCUGGAAGGAUCUAAGAGGGUUUCUUGUGAAGGUGGCAGAAAUGGUGAAGCACUGGCUACUAACCAAAAGACCUGAAAUUUGAAUCCACGGAGAUGCACCUCAGAAGAAAGGCUUGGCGAUCUACUUCAAAAAAUCGGCCAUUGAAAACCCUGUGGAGGGAGCACAGUUCUACUGUGACACACAUGGGUCGUCAUGCACUGGAGUCAACUCCACCACUGGAGGGCAACUGUUUUGAUUUUGUUUUUGUUUUGUUGUUUUCCUUUGUACUUCGAGGGUAACGUGGAACAUUAGACUUUUACGUGCAGUAAGUUCUUUGGUUAGUUGUAUCCUGCUGUGGUAAUUGUUAACCAGUAAACCAGUUGCCAUCCAGUUAAUUCCAACUCAUGGCAACCCCAUGUAUGUCAGAGUAGAACUGUGCUCCACAGAUUUUUCAAUGGCUGAUUUUUCAGCAGUAGAUCGCCAGGCCUGUCUUCCAAGGUGCCUCUGGGUAGAUUCAAACCUUCAACCUUUCAGUUAGCAGCUGAGUGUGCUACCCAUUUGCACCACCCAGGGGAUCCAUGGGAAUUGUUAGAUAGGUUAUAUUCUUAUUUGUGGAUAUAGUUUUGUACCAGACCACUGAAAGUCCUGAGGAAAGUAACAUGUUCUGAGAAAUAACUACAUUAGUGUUAGUAGCUAACCUAUGAUCAUAGGGCUUAAACUGGUAUUAUGUUUAUCUUAUUACAUCUAUGCAAAUAUUAUUCAAAGGUGAACCAUAGAGUUCUAUGAUUACAAUCUCCCUUGUUUUUUCCCCAGUGCUGUGUACUCUAAGUUCUUAUCAUUAAUUCAUCCCCCACUCUACCAGUGCGUGAAUUCCUCACUUUGCUCUUCUUGGAGCGGCUCCUCCUAGAACAUCCGUCAUCCAGUUCCAGUUCCAGUCAGUAUGGUUGCUUGUUAAGCUUCUUGUGUGGUGGUCAUCGUGGGAUCGCCUUUUAACAUCAUCCUCUCUCUCCUUUUGCCUCCUCUUGCACUGAAGUCCCUGUGUUGUGAGAACCUGCCCUCCUCCCCAUUUUCCUUUUUCUUGUAUUCUUAUUUUGGUGGAGCAAAUGCUCCAUUAAGUUCCUGAGCAAUAGCUCAUGAGAGGUUGUUUUUGUUUCCUAGUGCUGCAACAGAAAUACCACAAGUAGGUGGCUUUAAAGAACAGAAAUUAAUUUUCUUACAGUUCUGGGGGCUAGAAGUCUUGGCUGUGUGGAUGCCUUCCUUGUAGGGGGGACCAGGCAAUCCUUGGUCCCUUGACUUGUAGACAAUUCUCAUAUGGUUUCUGUCUCCACCAAGACACCCUCCCGCACGUGCAUAUCUCUUUGCUCUUUUUAUAAGUCAUAAGUGAUAAGAUUCAGGACCCAUCCAGUUUGGGUAUGACCUAAUUAACAUAAAAAAGAAAACCAUAUUUCCAAACAGGAUUAUACCCACAGGUACAUGGGUUAGGAUUCCAGCACAUAUUUUAGAGGGGAUACAAUUUAAUCCAUAACACAUUUAGGGGGACACAAUUUAAUCCGAAAUAGAGGUAAAUUUUUAAUCCUUCAUAUAUAUGAAAAUGCCUUCAUUCUAUCCUUACACUUUGAUGAUAUACUUUGGAUCAGUAUAGACUUUUAGGUUAGAAAUCAUUUUUCCCUUUACUUUUGAAGGCAUUGCUCAUUGUCUUCUAGCUUCAGGUAUUUCUGUUGAGAAAUUGCAUGCCAUUCGGAACUCCGGUCCUGAGUAUAUGACUUUUUUUUUUUUUGAACCUUAUUAACUAUAAGGACCUAUUCUUUAUCUCUAAUGUUCUAAAAUUUCACAGUGAUGUACUUUUGUGUGAGUCUUUUUAAAAAUUAAUUGUUUUAGGAACUCAGUGCAUGCUGUCAGUCAGGAGGCACCUGUCCUCCAGUCCUGGUGACAGUCUUGCAUUACUUGUUUAUUUUUUCUUUAGUUUCUCUUCUGCAUUUUGGAUGUUGCACCUCCUGGACUGAUCCUUGAUCUUGAUAUUUCUCUUCUAUUUCCCGUCUCCUUGAUUUUGGUUUAUAAAAGAUUUCACUGACUUUAUCUUCCAAACUUUCUAUGAAUUUUUUAUACUUUCCUGUAAAAUAUAGACAUUUAAACAUAAGGUUUUGAAUGUUCCUUGAAAAUAUCAUCGUGUUCCUCUUUCAUGCAUGUACUAUUUUGUUUAUCUCUGAAAAUACUGAUAGAUUUUUUUAUAUUGUUUUUUUUAUCUGUUUCAUCCCAUUUCCUUUUUUUUUCUAUUUGUUUUGAUUUCUAUAUUUCAUGCUAGAAGCUUCCUUUAAGUUUCUACUCUUCUUAGCUCCUAUAUCUGCUCAUUUCAGUGUGCCUCACCUCAGCAAACGUGCCAGCACAUUUAAUCCACAUUCCAUCAACCACCAAGUCUUACUGUGUCUUUGUCCUAGUAUUUCUUGAGGUUUUCUGCUUUUCUCCAUUUGCACCGUAAUGGUUGUAUCUACAUCACUGCAGUAGUCUCCUACAGGACCUUCCCACGUCCAGGGCUUGUCCUCACAUCCGGUCCAUCCUCUAAGCAGCCCAGAGUGAUCUUUUUCAUUAGCUCCUGUAAGGUCCUGCCUACUUGUCCAGCUUCAUCUGAUGCCAUUCCUUCUCUUACCCUGUGUUGCCACAAGGGCCUUUCAGCUCCCGGAAGGAAUCAAGUUUCAUUUCAACUUCCCUUUGCAAGUGCUAUUCCCUUUACCUCGAACACUUUCCUCCAUUUGUCACUUGGCUAAUUUUUAUUCGUCAGCUUAAAAGCCACAUCUUCAAGGGAGCUUUCCUUGAACUCCUAGACUAAUGUUGGUUUCCUUGCAAUAUCUUUCAUAGUCCCCUGAACUUCUUCAAACACCCACCACGACUCUAUUUUGUAAUUAUUUUUUAAUGUCUGUUUUAUCAGCUGGAAACCCUGAUGGCAUAGUGGUUAAGUAUGAUGGCUGCUAGCCAGAAGGUCGGCAGUUCUCAUCCCCCAGGCGCUCCUUGGAAUCUCUAUGGGGCAGUUCUACUCUGUCCUAUAGGGUUGAUAUGAGUUGGAAUCGACUUGAUGGCAAUGGGUUUGGGGUUUAUUUUAUCAGCUAUACCAUAGCUCCCUGAGGACUAAAUUUUCCACCUUGUCAUUUAUUAUUAUCCUGAUUUUUAUCAGUUUUAAUACAGUGGCAUGAAAUAAUUUAACUAGAAGAACUGCUUGUCAAGAAUUCAUAUUGGAGUAGAGUACAUCUACGGUAACUAUGAUUAGAUGCUCGCAGAUAACCUGUGCCUCAGUUGUCUCCUCCUUAAAAGAGGUAUGUUCCUGUCUACCUCAUAGAUUGAUGUUAAGGACCCUAGGGGAGGGGGAAACAACAAACCCAUUGCUGAGAGCCGGUUCUAACUCAAAGUUAAUGCUAUACGGUUUCCAAGGUUAUAAAUCUCUAGGGAAGCAGACUGCCGUAUCUUUGGUGCUUUCAAACCGCUGAUCUUUCUGUUAGCAGUGGACUGCUUUAACCCUGCGCUGAAAUGUUACCACGUGGAAACCCCAGGCUCUGUUUGGCAUGAGUUGAAUUUGCCGAUAAAUGAGAGAUCGAGGUGGGAGAGCAAGAAGGCAAACUUUAUUUCCUUGCGCCAGGAAAAGGAGUCAGUCGGAGCUGCUGCCACUAAGACUCUUCUCUGAAGCCGAGGGGAGAAGUUACUUUUAAGGGGUUUAAAAGUAGGGAGUUCAUACAAAUUAAGUCGGCAACAUUCUUAAUCACACUACGCAGGCGCAAUUGGGUUUACAUACAACUUCUAAGCAAAGAAGGAUUUUAACGCAAAGUCGUGGGGGCGGAAGGCAAGCGAAUGAAACAAGGAUUUUAAUGCAACACUGGGGGAAGAAGCCAAGCAAAGAAAAAGCUUAUCCUGAUGCAUAACUGUUUGGGGUUUUGUCUUAACCGGGACUCCACGUUAAGGACCAAGAUACAGUUAUGACUUUUGCGCGGUACCACACAUGCCCGCAUCAGCCAGCGGACGUUAGCUCAG